rnacentral:rRNA from 1 species
UACGUAGGGUGCAAGCGUUGUCCGGAUUUAUUGGGCGUAAAGAGCUCGUAGGCGGCCUGUUGCGUCCGCUGUGAAAGCCCGGGGCUUAACCCCGGGUCGGCAGUGGAUACGGGCAGGCUAGAGGUAGGUAGGGGAGAAUGGAAUUCCCGGUGUAGCGGUGAAAUGCGCAGAUAUCGGGAGGAACACCAAUGGCGAAGGCAGCUCGCUGGGACGGUACUGACGCUGAGACGCGAAAGCGUGGGGAGCAAACAGG